rnacentral:rRNA from 1 species
UACGGGGGGGGCAAGCGUUAUUCGGAAUUACUGGGCGUAAAGGGCGCGUAGGCGGUUGAAUAAGUCAGAUGUGAAAGCCCUUGGCUUAACCAAGGAAGUGCAUUUGAUACUAUUUGACUUGAGUAUGGGAGAGGGAAGUGGAAUUCCAGGUGUAGAGGUGAAAUUCGUAGAUAUCAGGAGGAACACCGGUGGCGAAAGCGACUUCCUGGACCAAUACUGACGCUGAGGCGAGAAGGCGUGGGGAGCAAACAGG